rnacentral:rRNA from 1 species
ACGGCGAGUGAAGCGGGAUGAGCUCAAAUUUAAAAUCUGGCAGUCUUUGGCUGUCCGAGUUGUAAUCUAGAGAAGUGUUUUCCGCGCUGGACCAUGUACAAGUUUCCUGGAACGGAACGUCAUAGAGGGUGAGAAUCCCGUCCUUGACAUGGACUGCCAGUGCUAUGUGAUACACUCUCAACGAGUCGAGUUGUUUGGGAAUGCAGCUCAAAAUGGGAGGUAAAUUCCUUCUAAAGCUAAAUAUUGGCGAGAGACCGAUAGCGAACAAGUACCGUGAGGGAAAGAUGAAAAGAACUUUGGAAAGAGAGUUAAACAGUACGUGAAAUUGUUAAAAGGGAAACGAUUGAAGUCAGUCGCGUCUGCUUGGACUCAGCCUUGCCUCGGCUUGGUGCAUUUCCUUGUGGACGGGCCAGCGUCAAUGUUGUUUGCUGGAAAAAGGCGGGAGGAAUGUGGCUCCCUCGGGAGUGUUAUAGCCUCUGGUCAAAUGCAGCGAGUGAUAUUGAGUGGUACAGCAUGCUUCGGCGGUGCUUGUGCUGGCAUAAUGGCUUUAAACGACCCGUCUUGAAACACGGACCAAGGAGUCUAACAUGUCUGCGAGUGUUUGGGUGGCAAACCCGAGCGCGCAAUGAAAGUGAUGGCUGGGAACCCCGCAAGGGAGGCACCGGCGCCCCGAGUUGAACUUUUGUGAUGCAUCGGAGGUAGAGCAUAUAUGUUGGGACCCGAAAGAUGGUGAACUAUGCCUGAAUAGGGCGAAGCCAGAGGAAACUCUGGUGGAGGCUCGUAGCGAUUCUGACGUGCAAAUCGAUCGUCAA